GCCCUGCAGUUAUAGGGAUGGGCCCUCGAUGUGGCUCCCUAAAUACACGCAAAGGGACGAUGAUGCUCAAACCAGUCCCACUCCCGACUGAAGCCCGGACUCACUGGUGUCUCCUCUGCUGCACAGUACACAUGCCCAUAUCUGCAGAGGUGUGUCUGACAUAUAGGACCGAGCUGAGGCCAAGACUCAGACUGACAGUCCACGACCCCGACGGGAUGCCGUGAUUCAUUAUGUCGGGCUCAGCUCACCACACAACGACCCCACGAUCCCAUUUCAGCAGCACACGUAUGAUGGGCAAGAGAAGGGGCAGAGGAGGAGCCCGAGCAGUGCAGAGGAUGAACGGCCUAAUCUCUCCUCCAGGCGCCAUCACACAUGCAGGAACACUGGUGUCUCUACGGCCGGCGUGUCAUUCCUCAAGGGCAGCCAUGUUGCUGCUGAUGUGUGUGUGUGUGUGUGUGUGAGAGAGAGGGAAACGCCUGUGCUGGCAGCCUCUGAGGCCCCAGAGAGUUCACCUGUGUUACAUGAUCAGCAUCACUCAUGUGUGAAGUCUAUAGGAACACACAGAUCUAAGAUUUACGCACUUGUUUAUCUCUGAUCAGGUCAUCUAUUCAUCUUAUCCGUGCAGUGUCAAUUAUUUCUACUACAUGAGCAUCUGCCAAACGGAUAGGAAUUAUUAAUGUAUUGGUUUUGGAAAUGCAUGGUUUCAAAUUGUAUUUUAAAAAUUAAUUAUUUACAUAAGCACAUACUACCAAUGAGAUUUGACAACUUUAAGGGGAUGAUAUGAUUUUAAUUAAGAUUACCCAGUUUCUAAAAUUGUGACAAACUCUUCGUGAAUUACAAUUUAAUUUUGAAAUUAAUGCAUUUGGGCUAUUGAUUGUGCACCGUUUCAUUUUUUUGUGUGUGUAAACAUUAAACUUUGGUUCCCAUGUUGGUGUUUACGUGCUGGUUUUCCUGAAAUGUUGUGAAAUGUUCAUAUUGCAAGCUUGAUCUGUUCUUAUGUAUUUUAAUGUAUUUUUCUAUUCUA